AGCUUAAAAACAUCGUUGCCUGUAAGAUCACCGCAGUUAAGCAACGUCGAGCCUGGCCAGUACUUAGAUGUGUGACCGCUUCGGAAAAUCAGGUUCUGUAUG